AGCGAACGCUGGCGGCAGGCCUAAAACAUGCAAGUCGAACGCCGUAGCAAUACGGAGUGGCAGACGGGUGAGUAACACGUGGGAACGUGCCCUUUGGUCCGGAACAACACAGGGAAACUUGUGCUAAUACCGGAUGAGCCCUUACGGGGAAAGAUUUAUCGCCGAAGGAUCGGCCCGCGUCUGAUUAGCUAGUUGGUGGGGUAAUGGCCCACCAAGGCUACGAUCAGUAGCUGGUCUGAGAGGAUGAUCAGCCACACUGGGACUGAGACACGGCCCAGACUCCUACGGGAGGCAGCAGUUAGGAAUCUUGGACAAUGGGCGCAAGCCUGAUCCAGCCAUGCCGCGUGAGUGAUGAAGGCCUUAGGGUUGUAAAGCUCUUUCAGUGGGGAAGAUAAUGACGGUACCCGCAGAAGAAGCCCCGGCUAACUUCGUGCCAGCAGCCGCAGUAA
rnacentral:rRNA from 1 species